CUGUACAGUUCAGAGUUUGAUCCUGGCUCAGGAUGAACGCUGGCGGCGUGCCUAAUACAUGCAAGUCGAACGGGAGACUCGGUUUCGACUGAGUUGAGAGUGGCGCACGGGUGAGGAACACAUGGCUGACCUGCCCUUCAGCGGGGGAUAACGGCUGGAAACGGCUGCUAAUACCCCAUACGCUCCUGGAGAUUAGAAGCUCGAGGAGGAAAGCCUUUGGGUACUGAAGGAGGGGGCUGUGGCCCAUCAGCUAGUUGGUGAGGUAACGGCUCACCAAGGCGACGACGGGUAGGGGGCCUGAGAGGGUGACCCCCCACACUGGGACUGAGACACGGCCCAG
rnacentral:rRNA from 1 species